rnacentral:lncRNA from 1 species
AAGAUAAAAGACGUCUACUAAAGUGAUGCAUGAAGAAUAACAAAGAGCAUAUAACACUCUCUCAGUAGUGUAGUAUUUAAACCUCUCCCUGCAUUCAGGAAUUAACAAUAUUGCAUCUUACCCAAUCAAGAGUAUUAUUGCUUGAAUUUCUUAUAAGAUAGUACCAAGGAGGUACAGAAACAUAUAAAUAAAGAGAAAAUGGGACAAUUGUUACAAUCAACUCAGCAUAUCCAAGAUCUCUGAACACUGAAAUAAAUCCUCAUCCACUCUUUCCUGCACCAAAAAUAUAAUUUUUUUUAAAAGAACAACUAGGAAAAUUAUUGCAAAACUAACUUUGCCAUUUAGAGCAAUGACAGUAAAGCCACCCAGAGACAAAAGAAACAUAAAACGAAAAGGAUAAGAUUCUUUUCAAUUUCAAACAGUUAAAAUAUGUACAUAAAAGAAAUGCUCAUUUUUAUGUAAUUUUUUUUUCUGAUUAGAAAACUUGGGCUAGCAAUGAAUAUUGCACAAACCUGCAGUACGACUAUGCUGUGAGCAAGUCAAGAAGCAGAUAUCUAAUUGCACAAAGAAUAAGCAAAUUUUGGGAGUUUAUAUGCCUCUAAUGGAUACAGAAGAUAAAUAACAUCUGCCUAACCAUUCUAACAUCAGCUUAUAGAUCAAAAGUUCAUUUCUCAAGAUGAUCACUCUAUAGAAACAUCUAAUACCCAAGCUAAGUCGCAAUUUUUCCACAACCAAAGGAAAUAAAACAUGGAUAGUAGCAAACAUCCCAGUUGCUCACAAGUUCCAGAUCUCUAAUUGGAACCACAGAGACAUGAAAAGAUCAAAUCCACAGAGCCAAUUGAUACAAAACCUCCCCACAUGAUCAUUGACAACUACAACUAAUAUGAAUCAUAUACAUUUUGAAACGGGCAAGAAAACCUAUUAUUCACAAAUCUAACCUAAUAGUCAAUAGCAAUAACUACCAAUAUUCCUCUAUCUGAAUUAGUUGGUGUGAGGUAUAAGAACUCUAAAAAAAAAAUAAUUUAAGGCUGCCAACACAUAGGUCUAACUUGCAAUUUCUUUUCUGAAUGAUCAAAUGGCCGAGGGGCAGUUGAUUGAUUGGUUGAUUUCCUUUAUUGUAAUUACCUUGGGAACAACUCCAGAAUGAAUUUUAUUGAGUACAUUGUAAAAGAUCAUUCCACUCCUUAAACCAAGCCUGAAUUCUUCCUCAGAAGGUUCAGCUGGCAAAUUUUUAGCUCCUAUGUAUCUGAUGCUUACACCAUCAAUGGUCAACCAGGUGAUCUCUACAAGUGUUCAAGCAAAGGUUAGUUCUAAUAUCAAAAUAUUUGAAGCUUACACAUAGUAUAAAGACUAAUUUUCACCUAACAAUGUUAUGCUAGCAGUAAUCUAUGAUUGCAUAUGUUACCUAUUAUGACAUGUUUUCACAGAAAUCAUGUUAAUGCAGAUACCACCAUAGUGCAUGUGGACGCUGAUGAAACGAACCUCCUUCGAGUUAUCAAUGUUGCACUCAAUCAACAACUUUUCUUUACUGUGGCCAACCAUAAGUUUAUUGUUGUUGGAGCAGAUGCCUCUUAUUUUUUAAAGGAUAUCAAAAUUUGAUGUUGCUGCUCUGGUUUUUUGUUGCUUUCAUUUGUCAACAAAAAUUAGUAAACAGUCCUCCUAAUUCACUGUUCUGCUCAUUUCCAUCAAUAAAUUUUCAGUUUUUGUGCCAGGUAUUCAGAAUCUUAACCUCAUUGGCAGAAGUUUUUCUUGAUUUGGGUUUCUUUUUCAGUAUUUUGUAAUAUGCUAAAACAUCAAUAUCUAUUGAUGUUAACGUGUCGUAUGAGUAAAACUACCAUAAAUCAGUAGGCAGCUUUAAAAAAAGAGCUGUCGAAUUUUUUAUGUACGUCGUAAUUCCUUUCGGGCAAUCUCACAAACACUUCUACUACGAACCCAAUGCAGUUUAUGUAACAAGAAACUCAAAUCUGUUCUUACUGCACUUUGACAGAAGCAGAACAGAUGAAAGUUAAAACUUAUCUCAGGAAGAGCAACUUGAAGGAGCAAUUUGAAAGACGCACAACAGCGAGCACAAUAAUAUAUCAUCAAUUAGCUAAAUAUUUUAGACAAAAGUAGUCUAAAUAUUUUAUCCAAGUUCAGAACAUGAGAAGGAAACAUUCUGCAGAUUAAAAAUAGUCAGUCAAAUAUUUCUAGCUUCCUGGAGAAAUAGCUACAAAGUUUCAUCAAAUCAAACACAAUAGAGGAUGGGGGAGACAUGUAAACACUUCCAAUUAAUUGCCAACUAAUCACUUAUGAUCAACGAAAUUAUACUUCACUAAUAGAACAUCAAAUGUUCAUAUGUUAUUUGUCUUCAUGCCUUCAGACCCUUAUUAACCAAUGUUCACGUACCAAUUAAUAACUUUUGACAGGAAGCUACUUCGAUCUCUAGCUAGUCUUUAAACCUCUUUUAUCCAAGUAAACUUAUCUUAGUGUAGAUCUCUUAAUCUUUCCAACCAUGAAUAGGACCCACAAGCUGAAGUUGGUGACAUAUUGUAGGCUAAUGUAAAAGAACAAUAAAUUGAUCAACUUUUUGCUAGUGCACAAAUCCUUUGGUAAAAUUGCAUGUUCACUUAAACUUAUAAGUAUUUCAUAAAUUGAUUUGGUCCACAACUAACUGAACAAAUGUAGAUAUGAUCUUUUAUCAUAUAAUUUGAAGUUGUGAGUUAAGAUUUCUUGAAACAACAUAUUAAAAAGAAGUUUAGGUCAAUUGUAGUUUCUUUCAGGCAAUUUCACAAACACUUCUAAUGCAGACGCAAAGGCAGUUUUUAUAAUAACAGCCUCAAAUCUGUUUUUACUGCACUUCAACAUAGGUCGAACAGAUGAAAAUUAAGAGUAAGUAUAGAACAGUGAGCACAACAACAGAUACCAAUUAGCUUAAAAUUUGACAUAGAAGUAGUCUAAAUUUUCUAUCCAAGUUCAAAUCAAAACAUGAGAAACAAACAUUGUUCAAAUUAAAAACCCACUGAAUCUUAAAUCUAAAUAAUGGCAUUAAUCAUACCUUUACUAUAUAUCAGACGACAAACUGAAAGCAAAGAACUUGAGAAAUCGUCAAAGAGGAAAAGAGAAACUUGAGAUCAAACAAAAAAGAGGAAAG